rnacentral:SRP_RNA from 1 species
CCGUGCUAGAUGGGGAGUUAGCGGUGCCCUGUAACCCGCAAUCCGCUAUAGCGGGAUUGAAAUCCUGAUAGAGAUUUUUUUCUUUUCAUUUUGAGUUCAGUUUUGAAACGUUGAAAGUUGGGUCCUAUGCAAUAGAAAGGGCUGAACCCCGUCAGAACCGGAAGGUAGCAGCGGUUAGGUCUAAUUUCUAUGUGCCGUAGGUAAGCCUGGCUGGAGUAGAUGACCUGGAUGAGGUGUUAAGAGAAACUUUCGAAAGAGGGUGCACGG